rnacentral:ncRNA from 2 species
UAACUGCAUAAUUAUAACGGUCUUUGAACAGAGUUUUUGUUCAGAGUUAAAAAGGAAAUCCGUGAGAAUCGGAUACAGUCACCUCUGCUGUGAAAUGGACGAGGAAAUAAAACCAUUGGGUAAGCCUGAGAAGGUAUUUCCGAGGAUGAAGUUGAGUCAGAAUACUUGCCGUUAAUUCGUUUUUUGU